rnacentral:tRNA from 1 species
GGUCCCAUAGCUCAGCUGGAUAGAGCACAGGUUUUCUAAACCUGCGGCCCUUGGUUCGAAUCCAAGUGGGACUA